AACGCGAAGAACCUUACCUGGGCUUGAACUACUGGUAGUAAGCCUUUGGAAACAUAGGCUGAUCCGCAAGGAAGCCAGCAGAGGUGCUGCAUGGUUGUCGUCAGCUCGUGUCGUGAGAUGUUGGGUUAAGUCCCGCAACGAGCGCAACCCCUAUCUCAUGUUGCUAAUCCCGCAAGGGAUGCACUUUUGAGAAACUGCCUUCGAUAAGAAGGAGGAAGGUGGGGAUGACGUCAAAUCCUCAUGGCCCUUAUGUCCAGGGCUACACACGUGCUACAAUGGCCGGUACAACGGGAAGCAAUACCGCAAGGUGGAGCCAAACCCUGAAAGCCGGCCCCAGUUCAGAUCGUGGGCUGAAACUCGCCCACGUGAAGGCGGAAUCGCUAGUAAUCGCGAAUCAGCAGGUCGCGGUGAAUACGUUCCCGGGCCUUGUA
rnacentral:rRNA from 1 species